CUAUUGUUGUGUGUGUGUAUGUCUUUGAAAUAAUCACUGAUUGCACUACUGUGUAGUUAAAACAUUGAAUUUCAUUGUAUUUUUAGUACUGGGUUACAAUUGUGCUUUUGUAAGAGACCUGAACAAGAGAACAUGUGGACCAAGCAGUGUGUGCAUAGUGUAAAUGCAUGGUAAAGAAGUGAACGGCAGUGUGAAAAUUGUCGUCUUCGGCUCUCCGUAUACUGAGGCUGGUAACAUGGCAACCACGCACAACGACACAACGUGUUGAAGUCGUGUAUGUGUGUGUAAACCGAUAUAAAGCUGUAGUACGGUUCAAAUUAUCAACAGUAACUCAUUCAGGCGUGCUUAUUUUAUAUAAUUGUGUGAGUUGUGCUGGGAGAAAAAUGGACGACGGUUCAAAUCCGCAUCGAAUUUUUGUGGAGAGAACCUUGGCUAUCAUCAAACCUGAUGCCGUCCACAAAAGCGAAGAGAUUGAGGACGUUAUCUUCAGGUCUGGGUUCACUGUUCUGCAGAAACGGAAGGUACAGCUGAGCCCAGAACAGUGCAGUGAUUUUUAUGCAGACCAGUAUGGAAAGACCUUCUUCCCCAACCUGACUGCCUUCAUGAGCUCUGGCCCUAUCAUUGCCAUGACUCUAGGCUGCUACAAUGCUGUGGCCCACUGGAAGUCUCUUAUGGGGCCUGUCAGCAUUACAAAAGCAAGAGAAAUCUAUCCAGAAUGCCUCAGAGCCAAGUACGGAACGUCUGAUCUAAAAAACGCGCUGCAUGGCAGUGAGUCACUUUAUGCAGCUGAGAGGGAGAUUAAAUUCAUGUUUCCUAACUCUGUUAUCGAGCCCAGUUUUUCCAAAGAAUCAACUGAUGAAUACCUGAGCAAAUAUGUGAAUCCAACUCUGCUUCGUGGACUCACUGAGCUGUGCAAGCAUAAGCCAGAAAACCCCUGUGUCUGGUUGGCUGAGUGGCUGAUGAAAAACUGUCCAAACAACCCUGAAGUAUGCGAUGGAGACACAGUUAAAGACACAAAACACCAAAAUAAAAAUGAACACAGGUCAUCAGACAAAGUAGUUUCUUCUUGAAUAAUUUAUUUUAAACACAUGACUUAAAUACUAUACCUUAAUUAAAGAGCAUUCUGUGCACCGAGCAGCUGUUGUGUUUACUCUUGCCUUUAAUGAUGCCAAGACUACGAAAGCAAUGACAACACUGGGAGCCUUUAUCUUUUUAAGCCACCACUGUGGCUUUUCAUAUUGAAAACAUUGUUAAUUUCAGAACUUCAGAAAAUUAUUAUUUCAAGUUAUCGUAUGAAUCAAUAAGCAAUGUAUGUUUCAUUUGCAUUGUAAUUGUAUUCUAGACAUAAUAGCAGGAUGAUAGCAUGGUUCUAAAACCUGUUUUACUGAGCUCGGUUAAUGAGUUUAAACCAUUACGACAUUUCUGGAGGAGUUUGCUCAAACUCAAACUCCCAACAUUAGAUGUGUUUGCUGUAACUGAACAGACAUAUUUGAGCAGUUUGGAGAAUAAGCUACAAAGGCAAGGUUGGACUUUCUGCUGAGUGGAGAUCGUUGGUCUGUUGGACAAAGGAUGUUACAGAUGGGGCAUCCAGGAACCUGGGAAAGGGCCACAGAGAAAAUCAAUGGACAUUGGGGAGAGGGGCAUACAAAUGGUCACUCUAACUAAUAGUGGAAGAGGCCAGGGAGAAGUAAAAUGUCGGCAGAUGUUUCCCCUGUGGUGACCCCUAAGGCAAGAAGCGAAAUAAGACACACUGGAGGGGAGUGAACGUCUUUCUUGAGGUCAGAAUGCAGCGCCCACAUGAUUGGUGGCUUUAGUCGUGGCAAUAUGGAGAAGCCAAUCACACGUCUGCUUUGCGGACACGUGGUUUCUUGCCUACCGGUUCUAGAAAACCAACCACGAGUCGUCGUCGUGUGGGAGAAUCCAUCUUGAAGAGAACGCUCUCCGGUUGUGUGACUAG